GACGAACGCUGGCGGCGCGCCUAACACAUGCAAGUCGAGCGAGAACCAGGGCUUCGGCCCUGGGGACAGCGGCGAACGGGUGAGUAACACGUGGAUAACCUGCCCUCGGCACCGGAGUAGCCCGGGGAAACUCGGAUUAAUGCCGGAUGGCCCCUCAGCCCCUCGGGGCGGUGGGGAAAGGUAGCUUCGGCCUCUGGCCGAGGAUGGGUCCGCGGCGGAUUAGCUAGUUGGCGGGGUAAUGGCCCACCAAGGCGACGAUCCGUAGCUGGUCUGAGAGGACGAUCAGCCACACUGGGACUGAGACACGGCCCAGACUCCUACGGGAGGCAGCAGUGGGGAAUCUUGCGCAAUGGGCGAAAGCCUGACGCAGCGACGCCGCGUGCGGGAAGAAGGCCUUAGGGUUGUAAACCGCUUUCAGGAGGGACGAAGCCACUCGGGUGAACAGCCCAGAGGGUGACGGUACCUCCAGAAGAAGCCCCGGCUAACUACGUGCCAGCCGCCGCCGUAAAAC
rnacentral:rRNA from 1 species